rnacentral:rRNA from 1 species
GGUCCAGACUCCUACGGGAGGCAGCAGUGGGGAAUAUUGGGCAAUGGGCGCAAGCCUGACUCAGCAACGCCGCGUGAAGGAAGACGGCUUUCGGGUUGUAAACUUCUUUUGUCAGGGACGAAGCAAGUGACGGUACCUGACGAAUAAGCCACGGCUAACUACGUGCCAGCAGCCGCGGUAAUACGUAGGUGGCAAGCGUUAUCCGGAUUUAUUGGGUGUAAAGGGCGUGUAGGCGGGAAUGCAAGUCAGAUGUGAAAUCCCGCGGCUCAACCGCGGAACUGCAUUUGAAACUGUCAGUCUUGAGUACCGGAGAGGUCAUCGGAAUUCCUUGUGUAGCGGUGAAAUGCGUAGAUAUAAGGAAGAACACCAGUGGCGAAGGCGGAUGACUGGACGGCAACUGACGGUGAGGCGCAAAAGCGUGGGGAGCAAACAGGAUUAGAUACCCCCGUAC